UACGGAGGGUGCGAGCGUUGUCCGGAAUCAUUGGGCGUAAAGAGCGUGUAGGCGGCCUUUUAAGUCCUGCGUGAAAUCCUGCGGCUCAACCGCAGACGGUCGUGGGAAACUGGAAGGCUAGAGUGCGGGAGAGGAGAGUGGAAUUCCCGGUGUAGCGGUGAAAUGCGCAGAUAUCGGGAAGAACACCCGUGGCGAAGGCGGCUCUCUGGAACGCAACUGACGCUGAGACGCGAAAGCGUGGGGGAGCAAACAGG
rnacentral:rRNA from 1 species